AUUGAACGCUAGCGGGAUGCCUUACACAUGCAAGUCGAACGGCAGCACGGACUUCGGUCUGGUGGCGAGUGGCGAACGGGUGAGUAAUGUAUCGGAACGUGCCCAGUAGCGGGGGAUAACUACGCGAAAGCGUAGCUAAUACCGCAUACGCCCUACGGGGAAAGCAGGGGAUCGCAAGACCUUGCACUAUUGGAGCGGCC
rnacentral:rRNA from 1 species